UGCCAGACUCCUACGGGAGGCAGCAGUGGGGAAUAUUGCACAAUGGGGGGAACCCUGAUGCAGCGACGCCGCGUGAGGGAAGAAGGUUUUCGGAUUGUAAACCUCUGUCCUCUGUGACGAUAAUGACGGUAGCAGAGGAGGAAGCCACGGCUAACUACGUGCCAGCAGCCGCGGUAAUACGUAGGUGGCAAGCGUUGUCCGGAUUUACUGGGUGUAAAGGGCGUGUAGCCGGGCCGGCAAGUCAGAUGUGAAAUCCCAAGGCUCAACCUUGGAAUUGCAUUUGAAACUGUUGGUCUUGAGUAUCGGAGAGGCAGGCGGAAUUCCUAGUGUAGCGGUGAAAUGCGUAGAUAUUAGGAGGAACACCAGUGGCGAAGGCGGCCUGCUGGACGACAACUGACGGUGAGGCGCGAAAGCGUGGGGAGCAAACAGGAUUAGAUACCCUUGUAUU
rnacentral:rRNA from 1 species